rnacentral:misc_RNA from 1 species
GCUCCUUCAUGUACACGCUCUCCUUGUCCUUCGUCCUCCUCUUCUUGGAGAAGAGCACGCCAUUAACGAGCGGAACAACCAGCGGCACGAUGGGCUUCUGCUUCUGCGCCUUCCUCCUCGCUGGCGCCACCGCCCAGCCGCCGCCGGAGCCGGAGCCGGACACAAGCGCCUGCGCCUCCCUGUCGGCCUGCUCGCCCACGCCCAGCCUCAGCAGGUGGCCCAGCUGCGGCCUGCUGGUGGGGGCGCGGCGCGGGCGCUCGGCCGAGACCGCCAGCGCCAUGUCGCGGCCGAUGCUGGCGCGCGCCGCCGCCGCGUUGUCCGCCUCCAUGUGCGCCACCUUGGAGAGCGCGCGGUGGAGCUUCGCGUUCAGGGUCGCCAUGGACAGCUCCAUCUCGGCCAGCCUCCUCUUGAGCCGCGCCACCUCCUGCCUCGUCCUGGCCGCCUCGUCCUCCAGCCUCCUGAUGGCGCUAAUCACGACGAGGUCGGCUGCCUUGCGCUCUUGCUCGUCGUCGUCGCCGUCGUCGUUGGCCAGCGAAGGCGACGACGCGAAGAACGGCGGCGAGGAGGGGACCAGGUACAUCGGCACGUCUUCUGCAACCGGCGGCCUUGGCACGGGCACCGGCGGUAGGCUUGGAGCAGCAGGCUUGCUGCUGCAACUACUGUGCUCUUCCUUGGCAUUGCAGGUGACAUUGACAACACUUGGCUUGGAGUUGCUGUGGCUUUCCAUGACGCCGUCGCUCCGGUUAGGCAGCUUCACGUCAGAGGCGGCAAUGGCGACAGCAUUCACCCUGGAGUUGAACUCCUUGCCAACACGACAGCCGCCAUGCGCACCACCGUUUGCCCUCAACUGGGCUUCCCUGACAAGGAUGCGCUCUCCGAACACAGCGACCGCCUCCUUGACGGACCGGAAGGCACGGGAGGUGUCGACCUCUCCACGGUCCGACGCCAUGCCGCUGCUGCUGAAGGCCACGACAGAGGCGGCAAGAACAAGAGCUGCUGGAGGGGUUUUAUUAUUGUGGCUUGCUUCGCUUCCACUACAAUGGCGGACAGGAUAUCAGGAUGGCCCAUUCCAGCAAGCAAGACGCAGGACAUGCCACCUAAUAGGAUCCUUCAAGUAGAGAAGACGAAGAGUACAACGAGCUGAAACAGGAAUGCUUUCUGCGGAAAAAAUGGAGGACGCGAUCUUGAGCUGUCCCAGGAAUGUACAACAGGCCAGGAUAUCCGAUACUCUACAGCCUUGGCAUCAUGGGAGUGGUUGGGACGAAUCAUGGUCCGUCUCCUUCACAUGUAAAACAAACAGAUGUGUGGC